rnacentral:rRNA from 1 species
UACAUAGGGAGCAAGCGUUAUCCGGAAUUACUGGGUGUAAAGGGUGCGUAGACGGGGAGUCAAGUUAGUUGUGAAAUCCCUCGGCUUAACUGAGGAACUGCAACUAAAACUAACUUUCUUGAGUGCAGGAGAGGUAAGUGGAAUUCCUAGUGUAGCGGUGAAAUGCGUAGAUAUUAGGAGGAACACCAGUGGCGAAGGCGACUUACUGGACUGUAACUGACGUUGAGGCACGAAAGUGUGGGGAGCAAAC